rnacentral:rRNA from 1 species
GACGUAGGGGGCCAGCGUUGCUCGGAAUUACUGGGCGUAAAGGGUUCGUAGGCGGUGCGGCAAGUCGGAAGUGAAAUCUCUGGGCUUAACUCAGAGGCUGCUCCCGAAACUGCCGUGCUUGAGUGCGGGAGAGGCGAGUGGAAUUGCAGGUGUAGCGGUGAAAUGCGUAGAUAUCGAGAGGAACACCAGAGGUGAAGACGGGUUGCUGGGCCGACACUGACGCUGACAGCGCGAAAGCCAGGGGAGCAAACGGG